AUAGAAGAUUACGAAGAUUUUUUCUUUUAGCUUUCCCAUCGUCUUCGUGUGGAAGCUAGCCUUCCAUACCUCUCCCCCCACGAACUCAGGAUCGAAGCCCUCGUGUCGUCUUCUCCAAGAAGCCAGUGUCUCCUCGUCUUCUCCACCAAGCCAGUGUACCAUCAUCUUCUCCAGCCCUUUGUCUCGCCGCUGCCACUGCUGCUCAACUUCGUAGAAACUGAAAAUAUCAUGCUUUAGGCAUGAGGGUUUUGCCUCAGAAGCCCCAAAGACCGAAUAUGUCCAACAUUAUCUGCCUGAUGAAUAAGUGAAUUCAGAAAUUGAAAAAUCGUGUACCAGUAAAAGAGAUUGGGCGUCCAAUCUUCGAGAGCUAGCAAAGCCUCAUAACUUUAUAACUCAAGUAUAGCAGUCAACAAUAGCAGAUGAGAGUGGAAGGGCAGGGGCCAGUUGGAUGCUGGAAGGGCACGACAAUGAGUGGACUAAAGCCAUUGGAUGCUGUAAUUCAAGUGUAGCAUUCAACAAUAGCUGUGUGGACUUAAGUGUACCAGUCAUUAAAUUUAUUGUAACUCAAAUGUAACUUUCUUAAAUUUAUUGUAACUCAAGUGUAACUCUCUUAAAUUUAUUGUAAUUCAAGUGUAACUUUUUAAAAUUUAUUGCA